rnacentral:rRNA from 1 species
UACGAAAAAAACUAGCGUUGUUCGGAAUUACUGGGCGUAAAGCGCGCGCAGGCGGUUUUUCAAGUCAGUGGUGAAAUCCCGGCGCUCAACUCCGGAACUGCCAUUGAAACUGUUGAACUUGAGGACGAGAGAGGUGAGUGGAAUUCCCAGUGUAGAGGUGAAAUGCGUAGAUAUUGGGAAGAACACCGGUGGCGAAGGCGGCUCACUGGCUCGUUUCUGACGCUCAGGCGCGACAGCGUGGGGAUCAAACAGG